rnacentral:tRNA from 1 species
GGCGGCAUAGCCAAGUGGUAAGGCAGAGGCCUGCAGAGCCUUUAUCCCCUCGUUCGAAUCAGGGUGCCGCCUCCA